rnacentral:snRNA from 1 species
GCCUGGCCAGCAGCACAUAUAUUAAAACUGGAAUAAUACAGGGAAGAUUAGCAGAAGGAUGACAUGCAAAUUUGUGAAGCAUUCCAUAUUAAA